rnacentral:lncRNA from 1 species
UUUUGAAUGAUAGUAAUGACUUGAAAAUAUUUUUCUUAAAGAUUACAAUCUAAAGUAUUUAUAUAGUAAAUUAAAAAAUAAUAUUGAAGCAAAUUUGGGACAUCUGGCUAUUAAAUUUUUUGGCAAUGUAUACACAUCUCACACUUAAUAUAAAAAUGAUACACAGCAAAGAAUUAUUGAAUACAUGUACUAAAGGACUUGCACCUAAAAAGAGAUUUAAGCCAAUAAAAGGUAAAUAUUUCAUUUUCUCCCUCGUAGAUACUUCCAUCAUCAGCAUAGAUGAUUUAACCUCCACCAUAACCCUCACAAAGAGUCACAGGUUGGUUUUUCAUUAUAAUAUAGACAUAUAAACCUCCCAACCGCUGUCAACCAAUCGAUGACAAUGCUGAAUUAUAAAAUUCUGUUAUUAGAGUACCUGAAAAACUCAAAUUCCAGUUGCCCAAGUCUAUAUCACUUGCUUGUCAGCAGUUCCAAAUGAGAGCCCUUCAUUGAAAUCGUCUUUAGUUCCCAGUGUAAGGAUAAUGAGUUGACCAACUGAAAGAAGCUUUUCCUUUGUUUUGUAAUGUGUCUGAAACACAACACCGUCAAGUCAUUAUCAAAUGGGAACCUUCAACCUUAUUGUUGUAAGUCCAGUCAGCCUGCUAGUAAUGGAAUCUGGUUGAUUAUUAACAAAGCUCUGAUGCAACAAUUAUAAAACAAAUGGAAGAGGUCUAUCUGGUUCCAAAAAUAAUAUGUCAAAAAGGCAAUGAAAAAAUAAUCGGACAACCAACAAAUAGACAUAUAGUAAUUACUUCACCUCAUAUGAUACAGUAACAAUAUAUGUUGCAGGUUGAAGAGAUAAGAACUGUGGUUGCACAUCCAUUUACUGGUAAGAUUAAGUUUAAACCAUACAGAGUAAGAUCUAAGUUUAGGGGGUUCCCGAGAGCUAGGAGUUAAGGAUGUGUGUUCUAACAUGACACCAAAUGCAACAUAAUGUAAAGAAGUCAGUAUACUUGCUCCCUACUUGUAAAUGAACUACAAAAGUACAAAUCACAACCUUUUAUAACAUCCAAACAAAGUUAUCCAACAUGCUUCUGCCCACUUCUAAGUUAGUAAACAUGAUAAAUUUUGUCCCAGGGUAGUAACAGAACCCCACUUCCUCCACCACCUCUAUUCUGUCUAACACUAUCAUAUUCAAAAUUAACUAAGUAGUUAUAUCCUUCCAAUGAGAGAAACUCGGCAAUGCACUAACGUGCAACUCUUUUUUCCUUAGCAAUAUUAGAUGAGCCAGUUCCAUCAUCUAUUUCCUCCAUAAAAAUUUCAAAAGUUGUUGUAGACCAAAAUCAGGCAUUAACAUUAUUAUCAAUACUGUUAUCCAAUUUGAUUACAAUCGAUCAUUUGUUUCAUUUUUAAGUAGGAUAUUUUCUUUAGGUACUUCCAAGACGUAUGUAAACAUUGUAAGCAGUUUAUCAAUCAUUAUAAUCUAAGAAACAAUUAAUCACAAAUGACCAUAGCAAAAUAAAUAUUAAUCACUAUCACUGUCAUGUGUAAAGGUUUGUCAGUGCUUUAAUUCAAUAAGAUUUAACCAUUCAACAAAAUUGCAUAACCUAAAUGUUUAAUUUGCUCUGAACAAUACCUUAUGUCUAGAAAAACAUUUUGGUCUGGCUCAACUAUCCAUAGUCUGUAGUCUUCCACAAUAAAUUUUUUUCAUGUCACCAUGUUAAUAUUUGCUGGUUUGCCCUGACAUUCUUGAAUUAUCUACAAAAGCAGAUGAAAAUAACAUUGAUCUUGGUAUUCUUAUAUAAUUUUAAAUUCCAAAACUUUAUCACACUCAUAACAGAAAAUUUUGAAUUCCAAAAAUGUAAAAAAGAGUUUUUGGCAAUAAUUGACAAUCAACAGUUUAAGUAGCUUUAAUUAAGGGUCCUUAAAGAAACUUUUUGGCAAUAAAAAAAUUCAAAACUAAUCAAAUUUAUCACAUAAUUAGAAAGAAAUUAUUUUAAUUGAUUUUCAAGGAUCGAAAAGAUUUCAAAACAGGAAUAAAAAGAAAUGCACAAAUAGAAAGUAAUAGUAAUCAAUGAUUAUAAACAUGAAUAAAAUAAAAAAUUUGCCCAAUUUUUAUUUGAUUAGUUACGUACAUACUUCUUAGUUCUGACUUUCUAGAAUUAACUAUGCAAUCUACCUUAAAUAACACUGAAUCCAUUAAAAUUGAGAGGUUAUAUAUUAUAGAAUGUAAAUCUAUUUCUUUCGUAAAAAAAAAUGAAGAGAAGAAAGUGGGUGUACCUUUUAACAGAGAACGGAGAGAGAAGAAGAAGAAAGAGGGAUUUGUAGGGACGUUUUCGUUUCUAUAUAUAUCUUCCAAAUCCAAACUUCUACCAAAAAGUUGUGUCUGUUUAACGUCUUCUAUUUGUAGUUACACGAUUUUUCGACAUCUUCUUCCAAAUGGUUUGACGUCUUUUC